GUUGAAACACGGCUUCUCGUACAAUCACCGAAGUUAAGCAACGUCGAACCUGGCCAGUACCUAGAUGGGUGACCGCUCGGAAAUGCUAGGUUCUGUAAG